UACGGAGGAUGCGAGCGUUAUCCGGAUUUAUUGGGUUUAAAGGGUGCGCAGGCGGAUUUUUAAGUCAGCGGUCAAAUCGUGGGGCUCAACCCCGGCCCGCCGUUGAAACUGGCAGUCUCGAGUUGGAGAGAAGUAUGCGGAAUGCGCGGUGUAGCGGUGAAAUGCAUAGAUAUCACGCAGAACUCCGAUUGCGAAGGCAGCAUACCGGCGCUCAACUGACGCUCAUGCACGAAAGCGUGGGUAUCGAACAGG
rnacentral:rRNA from 1 species